CUUAGGGGUGUACGUUCUUUCGGACGUGCUGAGAUUAUACCCUCCGAACCUGCACUGGAUCAUGCCAGCGAAGGAAAGAGCCUAC
rnacentral:ncRNA from 1 species